UAAGGGAUCUCUCGGUUUCUGUAACGAUGAAGAACGCAGAAGUUUGCGAUAAGCGGCAUGAUUAUCAUAUAUGAAUGCACGAUAUUCGAAUUUGUGACUUUGUCAUAGACUACCCCUUAGACUUAAGCAUAUCAUUAAAGGGAGGGAAAGAAACUACCAAGGAUUUUCUUAGUAGUGGCGAAUGAACAGAAAACAGCCCUGAUGGUAAACGGAUAAAACCGUGUUGUAAUAACGAGAUAGCGAAGCUCUUUGAAAGGAGCCCAAUAUAUGGUGAAAGGCCUGUAGCUAUGCGUUAAUUGGGUUGAGUAGCCUUGCUUGGUAAUGCAAGGUGAAUAUUGGUGGUAGCGAUCAUCAAAGGCUAAAUAUAACAGAAAACCGAUAGCAAAUAAGUAUCGCGAGAGGACGAUGAAUAGUAACUCGAAAGGGUAACGAAUAGUGUGAAAUUACCAGUGGGGAAGCCGAUUUAUCGGACCCGUCUUGAAACACGGACCA
rnacentral:rRNA from 1 species